UUGCAGAUUAUUCAGACAAGAGUAUAUCAUCUGCAAAUAGAGGUAACUAUUUCUUUCUUUCUUUUUUCUUUUCUUUUGUUUGUUUGUUUUUUUUUUUUUUGAGACGGAGUUUUGCUCUUAUUGUCCAGGCUGGAGUGCAAUGAUGCUAUCUUGGCUCACUGCAGCCUUCAUUUACCAGGUUCAAGAGAUUCUCUUGCUUCUGCCUCCUGAGUAGCUGGGAUUACAGACGUGCGCCACCACACCUGGCUAAUUUUGUAUUUUUAGUAGAGAUGUGAUUUAACCAUCACAUCUGGUAAUGGCCAAGCUGGUCUUGAACUCCCAAACUCAGGUGAUCCAUCCGUCUUGGCCUCCCAAAGUAUUGGGAUUACAGGUGUGAGCCACCGUGCCUGGCCAACUAUUCCUUCCUUUCUAACUGGAUGCCUUUUUUUUUUUCUUUUCAUUUUUCUUGUUGAACUCCCCUGGCUGGAAUCUACAGUACCACAUUGAAUGGAAGUGGCAAGAAGCGGGUAGUGCAGGCAGCAGGACGGGGUCGUGCAGUGCGGUGAAGGGCGGCAGGGAUUAACUGAGGUCUCACUCUGUGACCCAGGCUGGAGUGCAGUGGCAUGAACUUGGCUUUGAACUCCCAGGCUCCAACGAUUCUCCUGCCUUAGCCUUCUGAGUAGCUGGGACCACUGGGCAAUUAAUAGCAGGGCCUUCCUCAACUGCAAGAGAUCAAGCUGACUGCCCAGUGGGAAAGAGUUGGUUUGGGAAGGAAGUCUUCGCCAGAGUGACAAGGGACAUCUUAGAAGGAGGCCGUCUCCUCUUCUUGCCAAGCCACACGUUUAGUUUUUUUUUUUCAGUGAUCCUAUCACCUCUGAAGUAUGUGGUCUUCUUCCUUUCCGCUCCCUGCCUCGUUUCCCUUCCUCCAUACUUCAUCCCUCAGCCACCAUCUUCCUGGGGAAGCUACAGUUUUCAUUAUUUGUCUAGAGUUAUUAUAGUAUGAAAAAAGCCAACCCUAGAAUUGGUCUGUGCAGAAAUAUUGCUUUCAAAUCACUCCAUAUUCCACAACUCAUCUACCUCAUAAAUACAAAUGAAGCAAGAAGUUUUGUAGUAGAUUUGUAGAACAAAGGACCUAGUAAACAUGAAACUGUAAACCAGCACUGUUCAAUAGAAAUACAAGGCAAGCCACAAAGCAAGUCACCAUACGUAACUUAGAAUUUUCUGGUAGCCACAUUAAAAAGUAGAAAAUAACAAGUGGAAUUAACUCUAGUAAUCUGGUAUAUUUAAAAGAUCAUUUCAGCAGGUAGUCAACAUAAAAAUUAUUAAUAAAACAUUAUAUAUAUUUAAUAAUACAUCUUUGAAAUCCAGUUUUACACUUAAAUCUUCAUUCAGACUAGCCACAUUCAAGUACUCAGUUAACCACAUGUGGGUUAGUGGCUACCAUAUUGGACAGCACAGCUCUAUACUAUUUAUAUCUUUUCACAUAUUAUUCUAAUUUUUCUGAACAGUCUAAUGUAUUUUUGCAUGAAUCUAACCAGUGUGUUUAAUCUCUCUUGGAUUCUUUUCCCAUGAG
ensembl:lncRNA